GACGGAGGAUGCAAGUGUUAUCCGGAAUCACUGGGCGUAAAGCGUCUGUAGGUGGUUUAAUAAGUCAACUGUUAAAUCUUGAGGCUCAACUUCAAAAUCGCAGUCGAAACUAUUAGACUAGAGUAUAGUAGGGGUAAAGGGAAUUUCCAGUGUAGCAGUGAAAUGCGUAGAGAUGUGGAGGAACACCGAUGGCGAAGGCAGCCCCCUGGGUCAAGAUUGACGCUCAUGCACGAAGGCGUGGGGAGCAAACAGG
rnacentral:rRNA from 1 species